GACGAACGCUGGCGGCGUGCUUAACACAUGCAAGUCGAACGGAAAGGCCCGGCUUUUGUGGGGUGCUCGAGUGGCGAGCGGGUGAGUAACACGUGAGUAUCCCGCCCUUGACUUUGUGGUAACUUCAGGGAACUGGGGCUCAUACCGCAUAGAAGCUCCUGCUGCAUGUGGGGGGUUGGAAAGUGUCGGCGGUUGGGGAUGGACUCGCGGGUUAUCAGCUUGUUGGUGGGGUAGUGGCUUACCAAGGCUUUGACGGGUAGCCUGCCUGAGAGGGUGACCGGGCACAUGGGGACUGAGAUACGGCCCAGACUCGUACGUGAGGCAGCAGUGGGGAAUUUUGCAGAAUGGGCGGAAGCCUGAUGCAGCAACGUCGCGUGCGGGAUGACGGGUUUCGGGUGGUAAACCGAUGUCGCCGGUGACGAAGAGUGAGUGACGGUACUGGGUCAAGAAGCACCGGCUAACUACGUG
rnacentral:rRNA from 1 species